rnacentral:rRNA from 1 species
UGCAGUCGACGGUAGCAUAGAGAGCUUGCUCUCUGAUGGCGAGUGGCGAACGGGUGAGUAAUACAUCGGAACGUGUCCGUUUGUGGGGGACAACCACCCGAAAGGGUGGCUAAUACCGCAUAAGACCUGAGGGUGAAAGCCGGGGACCGCAAGGCCUGGCGCGAACGGAGCGGCCGAUGACUGAUUAGCUGGUUGGCGGGGUAAAGGCCCACCAAGGCGACGAUCAGUAGCUGGUCUGAGAGGACGACCAGCCACACUGGAACUGAGACACGGUCCAGACUCCUACGGGAGGCAGCAGUGGGGAAUUUUGGACAAUGGGGGCAACCCUGAUCCAGCCAUGCCGCGUGCGGGAAGAAGGCCUUCGGGUUGUAAACCGCUUUUGUCAGGGACGAAAAGGUGCGGGUUAAGAGCUAGCACUGAUGACGGUACCUGAAGAAUAAGCACCGGCUAACUACGUGCCAGCAGCCGCGGUAAUACGUAGGGUGCGAGCGCUAAUCGGAAUUACUGGGCGUAAAGCGUGCGCAGGCGGUUGGGUAAGACAGAUGUGAAAUCCCCGGGCUUAACCUGGGAACUGCAUUUGUGACUGUCCGACUGGAGUAUGUCAGAGGGGGGUGGAAUUCCAAGUGUAGCAGUGAAAUGCGUAGAUAUUUGGAAGAACACCGAUGGCGAAGGCAGCCCCCUGGGGCAAAACUGACGCUCAUGC